rnacentral:rRNA from 1 species
GAUGAACGCUGACAGAAUGCUUAACACAUGCAAGUCGAUGGGGAAGUGGUGCUUGCACCAUGGUAACCAUGGCGGACGGGUGAGUAACGCGUAAGGAACUUGCCUGCGGGACUGGGAUAACAGCAGGAAACUGCUGAUAAUACCGGAUAAGGUCAUUAAGCUGCAUAGCUUAGUGAUGAAAGGAGACGCCUGCGGAGAGCCUUGCGUCCUAUUAGCUAGUUGGAGGGGUAACGGCCCACCAAGGCGAAGAUAGGUAGCCGGCCUGAGAGGGUGGACGGCCACAAGGGGACUGAGGUACGGCCCUUACUCCUACGGGAGGCAGCAGUGGGGAAUAUUGGACAAUGGGGGCAACCCUGAUCCAGCAAUUCUGUGUGCACGAAGACGGUUUUCGGAUUGUAAAGUGCUUUCAGCAGGGAAGAAGGAAGUGACGGUACCUGCAGAAGAAGCGACGGCUAAAUACGUG